rnacentral:rRNA from 1 species
UACGAAGGGGGCUAGCGUUGUUCGGAAUUACUGGGCGUAAAGCGCACGUAGGCGGGUUGUUAAGUCAGGGGUGAAGUCUCGGAGCUCAACUCCGGAACUGCCUUUGAUACUGGCAAUCUAGAGACUGGAAGAGGUUAGUGGAAUUCCCAGUGUAGAGGUGAAAUUCGUAGAUAUUGGGAAGAACACCAGUGGCGAAGGCGGCUAACUGGUCCAGUACUGACGCUGAGGUGCGAAAGCGUGGGGAGCAAACAGG